CCAAGCGCUCAUUUUGAAAACAGGCAGCUUAGUAUUGCUCUGAGUGUAUUUAGUUUCCCAUAGAAAAAUCGGUUUAUUUCUGUGUUGUACCUGAGUUGAUUUUACAAUAUUAAAUGCAAACUCAAAAGCUACGUGGAAGAACAAAUUUCAACACUCUUGAAUAAGCUUGAUUAAUCAGACUAUUUCGAGAUUCCGCUAAGGAGCAUUUCAGGAAUGCUGCUGCUUUCAUCAGAAUCGUGAAAACAUCAAAAUGAAAUAUCCCCAGCCAUCAGCAGCAAAAAGGAGAUUUAACAUAAGUGUUUGAAAACACUCGGCUAGACAGAGGCCUGCAAGUGGCAUAUGCAUGUUUAUAUAUUAUGAUUUUAUUAUAUUCUCAUUUUCAACCCAUUGCCCAAUGCUGAGGUAUUUGUGUGUCUUCCAAAGAUAUAUUGAAAAAGCAUAUCACAUAUAUUUUCUUCUCCAUUUCUCUCUACAGAAAACAAGAUGGGUGGUGCUGAAAUGGGCAUGCUUUGUCCUGGGAAGUGUGAAGGUGUGACGGCCACCCCCUCACCUGAGAGCACUGACCAGACCUUCGGACCUCCAGGGCUGAAAUGUCACCAUAGCUGGUUACAGUUCAUGCCUGCAAAUACAAAGAAACUGUAUGGAGACAGCAAUGUACAGGACUUGCUAGGCUGUGGAUUCAGAUGUGUGCCAAGACCAAGGUUCAGAGAAGAUGAUUUGCACCAGGAAUGCAGAAGCAAGAAGCAGAGACUUGGUAAAGAGAAUCUGGACUUUUUGCCAAUGUGCAAUGAUAGUUGGAGAGACGAGAUUUGGGGAAAAAAUCUAAGCCCCAAAACCUAGUGUAGAAAAUGUUCCACCUGCUGUGAAAAUAAAAAGGAAGGAGGGGAAAAAAGAAGUCUGAGG
rnacentral:lncRNA from 1 species